rnacentral:lncRNA from 1 species
GUUCAGGUUCAUCUUCAUUGAUGAUGUCUUCAUUUUCUUGAGUUACCAACAUUGGAACUUGAAGUUUAUCCAAGGUACUUGCUUCCCAAUUCCAUGAAGAAUUUUCAUCCACCUUGAUAUCCCUGUUGGACAUCAUCUUCUUGGUUUGAGGAUUAUAGAUUCUAUACCCUUUAGCAUUGUCACAAUAACCAACUAAAACUCCAAGCUCUGCCUUUGGACUCAAUUUAUCCCUUUUUACAUCAGGUAUACGAGUAUAACAUAUACUCCCAAACACCUUCAAAUGUGAGACAUUUGGCCUAACUCCAUACCAAGCUUCAAAAGGAGUUAGCUUGUUCAAGGCUUUUGUUCGUAAUCUGUUCAAAAGAUAGGUUGCUGUAUUCACAGCUUUAGCCCAAAACUCUUUUGGAAUCUUCUUCUCAAGCAUCAAACAUCUUGCCAUUUCCAUCACCGUCCUAUUCUUCCUUUCACAAACUCCAUUUUGUUAUGGUGAAUAUGGCAUUGUCAACUGAUGUUUGAUCCCCACAGCAUCACAAAACUUGUCAAACUGAUCAUUCUUGUAUUCAGUUCCAUUAUCUGUCCUGAUGGCUUUAAUCUUGCAGUUACUCUCAUUUUCCACCAGAUUUUUGAACUUUUGAAAUACACCAGCAACCUCAGACUUCAUUUUCAAGAAAUACACCCAACACAUCCUUGUUAAAUCAUCAAUAAAGAGUAUAAAAUAUCUACUGUCAUUCAGUGUUUGUGUUCUCAUUGGACCGCAAACAUCAGAGUGGAUUAAUUCCAGCUUUUUUGAGGCUCUUCUUGACUGAUUUUUAGGAAAUGGUAGUCUUGUUUGCUUUCCAAGUUGACAGAUAUCACAUACACAACUAUCAUCACAUAUGUCAGGCAAAUUUUCAACAAGUUCCAUCUUAUGCAUUUGUUUAAGUGAAGUGAAAUUUGCAUGACCAAACCGUUUGUGCCAAAGUGAAGACUUCACAUCAGUACAAGAGUAUGCAUGAGAGGUCAAAUUUUUCCAUUCUAAAGGGAAGCUUCUUUGCUUCAUUUCUACUGUCAUUAAUUCAUUUUCACUUGGAUCAAAUAUAGUGCAACCACUAUCCUUAAAUACCAAAGUGUAAUUUUUCUCAAUCAAUUGACCCACACUUACUAAAUUUUGAUCAAUAUCUGGCACAUAAAGUACAUCGGGAAUAUGUUUGAUACCUGUUGAAGUUCUCACAGCAAUCACACCAAUUCCUUCUACUUUCACAUAAUCACCAUUUUCUACCUUCACCUUUGAUUUGUAUGUAUUAUUUAACUCAACAAAGAUGCUUAAAUUUGAAGUCAUAUGAUAUGUGCAACCACUGUCCAGUAGCCAAGUUCCAAUUUCACUACUCAUCUUAUGAUUUGUAGCUAUAAAUAGAUGCUCUUCAUUCAGGUUUGGGUGCUUGCUACUGUAAUGACUUCUCCUUCCGGCUUUUGCACACUUUUUGAACAUGUCCAAACUCUUUACAUGCUCUGCAUUGAACACCUGGUCUGUACCAACACCAUUUUGGAGAGUGACCUGAUUUUUUGCAAUGAGGACAGGGAGGAUAAUCAUCACUCUUACCAGCAUUCUUGUUGAAUUCGACCUUCUUUUUUUCAUGUGGUUACUUCUUCACUCUAUAACUUGUUUGAGCUUUAUAUUUUCCUUUGACAAAUAAGGCACCUUCAACCUGUUCUUCCUGCCUUAAUAGUCUUCUUUGCUCAGUAGCUUGCAAGGCAUUAACCAACUCUGAUAAAGUUAUAGAAGACAGAUCUCUAGAAUCUUCAAGUGAGGAGAUCUUUGCCUCAAAUUUUUCUGGCAAGCUGAUCAAAACUUUCUCUACAAUCCUCCUGUCAGGUAAGUCAUCUCCCAAAAGCCUUAUUUUAUUUACCACCUUCAUCAGCCUGUCAGCAUAUUCUGAGUCAUUCAUCUUCAAGGUUUCAUACUCCCUUCUUAAGUUUAAAACCUGCACCGGCCUUUUUCUUGCAUUUCCCCUGAACUCUUCUUGUAAUCUGUCCCAAGCUUCCUUGGCCGUCUCACAAGUUAUUAUUCUGGUGAAAAUCGCAUCAGAAACUGCAGAUUGGAUGCAAGACAAAGCCUUGGAUUUCUUUGCUACCUCCUUACUAUGUUGCUUCAACUGAGUUAUGGUAGGAUUUGCCUUUAAAGGUAGUGAUUCAAUACCUGUUUCUGUGAUUUCCCACAGGUAAUAUGCUCUUAGGUAUGCCUUCAUCUUUGCUGCCCAAAAGUCAUAAUUUUCUCCUGUAAACACAGAUGGCAAUGGAGCUGAAAAACCACUUGAAGCCAUCCCUCUCAGGUCUGAUUUUUUCGGCUGAUCUGGUGAAGGUUUUGGUAGAAGUUUCCUCAUUUGUUUUCUCUCUUUUUCUGUCUCACAACCUUGCCUUUUUCUCUAAGAUUCUUUUGCUCUGAUACCACUGUUGUAGAAUACUUGAUACAAAGAGGAAGAAGAAACUGAAAUCACAGAGGCAAAAAGAGGCAG